GUUAUCGUUUACUUCGUCGAUAACGUGUCGAAGUUUAUGGUAAGCAUCAUUCGGAGGGAGACGUAGCUCAAGGAUUAACCUAUCAACUUUGUUCAAGACGAGCACAAUUGGCAUAUCGUGAAGAAUCGCAUGUUUGAUAAUUCUAGUGGUGUUAAUCAUCACCUAAAGCAUGUUAGAAUCUUUAUAUCUUCAAAACGCAAGAAAAGGCCAGAAUAACUUACACCUUCAAUAACAUCAACGACUAAUACAACACCAUCACUUAUGGCCAUAGGAGCAGCGACUUCAUCAACAAAAUCGACAUGACCAGGCGUAUCGAUGCACUGAAAUGCAAACGUCUUACCCUUCAUAUCAGAAACUGCGAGCGUAAGUGGAGUACUUUUUAUAGACAUCACACGUUCUCUUUCAAGAUAAUGAGUGUCGGUAUAUCGAAGUGAACGCCUUUUUGGCGGCUUGGUGUCAGGAUGGGUAUAAUAAACGAGUAAAU